rnacentral:rRNA from 1 species
UAAUUAGCAGCACAGUGAGUAGAACUAAAGUUAUACUCUAAAGAAAAUAACUUUUAUAGUAGGUAUCAGAAAAUAACCAAAAAUUCUAAGACACCUAGCCCCCCACAUCUGCAGUACCUAACAUUAUACAAUAAGCAAAAGCUUGAUAUAGUUAUAGACUAAAGAGUUGGUUAAUUAUGUGCCAGCCACCGCGGUUAUACAUAAGACUCAAACUAAGAAACUUAUAUCGGUUUAAAGGUGAUUAAGGCUGAACUACUUUAAGGUGAAAAACAACUCCAGUACUAAUAAGCUUUUACAGUAAACUAACAACAAAAUAAAACUUACCUUAGCACCCCACCCUGAAACACCAAAGCUCAAAAAUAAACUGGGAUUAGAUACCCCACUAUAUGAGCCUUAAAAAACCAAAAACACCAGAGAACUACGAACUAAAGUUUAAAACUCARAGGACUUGGCGGUUUUUUAGAUCUCCCUGGAGGAGCUUGCUAUCUAACCGAUAACCCACGAAAAACCUUACCAGCA